rnacentral:rRNA from 1 species
UACGAAGGGGGGCUAGCGUUGCUCGGAAUCACUGGGCGUAAAGCGCACGUAGGCGGAUCUUUUAAGUCAGGGGUGAAAUCCUGGAGCUCAACUCCAGAACUGCCUUUGAUACUGGGGGAUCUCGAGUCCGGGAGAGGUGAGUGGAACUGCGAGUGUAGAGGUGAAAUUCGUAGAUAUUCGCAAGAACACCAGUGGCGAAGGGCGGCUC